UACGUAGGAUGCGAGCGUUGUCCGGAAUUAUUGGGCGUAAAGAGCUUGUAGGCGGUCUGUCGCGUCUGCUGUGAAAAUCCGGGGCUCAACCCCGGACUUGCAGUGGGUACGGGCAGACUAGAGUGUGGUAGGGGAGACUGGAAUUCCUGGUGUAGCGGUGAAAUGCGCAGAUAUCAGGAGGAACACCAGUGGCGAAGGCGGUGCUCUGGGCCGGAACUGACGCUGAGGAGCGAAAGCGUGGGGAGCAAACAGG
rnacentral:rRNA from 1 species